UGGGGAAUUUUGGACAAUGGGGGCAACCCUGAUCCAGCAAUGCCGCGUGAGUGAAGAAGGCCUUCGGGUUGUAAAGCUCUUUUGUCCGGGAAGAAACGGUUCGAUCUAAUACAUUGGACUAAUGACGGUACCGGAAGAAUAAGCACCGGCUAACUACGUGCCAGCAGCCGCGGUAAUACGUAGGGUGCGAGCGUUAAUCGGAAUUACUGGGCGUAAAGCGUGCGCAGGCGGUUUGGUAAGACAGAUGUGAAAUCCCCGGGCUUAACCUGGGAAUUGCAUUUGUGACUGCCCGGCUAGAGUGUGUCAGAGGGGGGUAGAAUUCCACGUGUAGCAGUGAAAUGCGUAGAUAUGUGGAGGAAUACCGAUGGCGAAGGCAGCCCCCUGGGAUAACACUGACGCUCAUGCACGAAAGCGUGGGGAGCAAACAGGAUUAGAUACCCCUGUAGUCC
rnacentral:rRNA from 1 species